GAUGAAGAACGUAGCGAAAUGCGAUAAGUAAUGUGAAUUGCAGAAUUCAGUGAAUCAUCGAAUCUUUGAACGCACAUUGCGCCCCCUGGUAUUCCGGGGGGCAUGCCUGUUCGAGCGUCAUUUCACCACUCAAGCCUCGCUUGGUAUUGGGCAACGCGGUCCGCCGCGUGCCUCAAAUCGACCGGCUGGGUCUUCUGUCCCCUAAGCGUUGUGGAAACUUUCGCUAAAGGGUGUUCGGGAGGCUACGCCGUAAAACAACCCCAUUUCUAAGGUUGACCUCGGAUCAGGUAGGGAUACCCACUGAACUUAAGCAUAUCAAUAAGCGGAGGA
rnacentral:misc_RNA from 1 species